UCUGGGCGUGGUGGCACAUGCCUGUAGUCCCAGAGGCUUGGGAGGCUGAGACAGGAGAAUCUCGAGUUGAAAACGAGCUUCAGCAACUGCAAGGCACUAAGCAACUCAUUGAGACCCUGUCUCUA
rnacentral:sRNA from 1 species